CCUCUCCCGGGCGGAGCCGGCGGCCGCGGCCGAGGCAGAGGCAGGCCGCGGGGAGCCGGAGCGGCCCCGGCGCAGGGGCUGCCCGCGGCGGGGGCCGUGAGGCGGCGCUGGGCUGUCCGGGAGCACGAGUGGGCGAGGCUGGCCUGCGCGGCUCUGCCCUGGGACGCUGCGCCCCUGGUACCGCCUGGUGCGGAUUCGGGAGCGCCCAGAUCGCCGCCUUCUCGGUCCCAAAGACGCUGCUGCGGGCCGUGCUUCGCAGUAGGAAAGAAACGGGUGAAAAAACUAACCACGAGGUUCUGCUUAGAAACCUUGGUCUAACCCAGCCCGUUAGCCUGAGGCGGGUGGCGAACGUGAUGGGUACCGGUACCACAGCGGGAGCGAGCGGUGGUACCUCGGCCCCGAGCGCAGCGCAGUGCUUUUAAACCUUGCGAGUACAACGUGGUUCCCAUGCAGCGUAGCGACGUUAAACAAAACCCUGAGCCUUCUGUGAAUUAUGAAUAAAAUGUACGGAUUGCACAUCUGAGGAUGGGCCAGGCCAGGCACAGACAGCUGGCCUCGGUUUGUUUGUAUGUGGUUAGACAUCUACAUGAACUAGGUGUCCAGACCCAACCCUUAGCAGAGAGAAACAAGCUCCUCCUGAAGGUGAUUCAUCUGCUGCUAAGACAGGAGCACAAGAGAACUCCAGUGAAAGCACCAAGAUGUCCCCUGUCAUCUCUGCAACUGAAAGGGUGGUGGUUUGUCAGAGGACCGAGAGUGAGGAGCAUGCAGUGUUUGGUUCAGAAGAGGUUAUGAAGAAAGCCAGACUGAGCAACUCCAAGCAAAUCCUGGUCUUAGUCCAGUAACACGACAUUACCCUGGGAUGGACAAAACUGUACCACGUUGCUGACAACUCUGGGUGAGAGUACCUAUGUUCCUUGGAGAACUGUAUUUCUUCUCUGAAAAGUAAUAAUUUUUGUCUGUUUAUGGAAUCAUGUUUCAUUUCAGACAUAGACUGUUUGAGCCAAUGAUUCCAUUUUCAGGAAAACAUCUUUUAGGAGCAAUGCAGGAAAGCACACGGAAGAGGUGGCAGGCUUCCAGUGGAAAUAGUGCCAAAGGAAGAACAGCAGCCCAGAGGAGAUUUCACACUUUACAGCAAUAUUUAAAGCAUUCUGAAUCUGAUUAGGGGGUAUGGCUGAAAGUCACAUAGCUUUCUGGUCCUACACAGCAUUUUUUAAAAGCUGUCAGAGGAAAAAAAUGAAAUAGUGGAACUAAAGUCCCUAAGCAAGUUCCAGCUCCAGUUCAGUACUCUGACAUAGUGUCAGUCAGCACGCAAACACCUACUGCAAUGGCUGGAUUCACAAGUGCUAUAAGCCACAUUUGGAUCAAAAGUGCCAUUCAGUUUUUCUCACUGUAGAUCUCUUAUAAAUUCCUCCAGAUUUACUUUGCGAUCAGGAUUUGGCUUACAGGCAUUAUCUCUGACAAAUGAAGGGGAGAAGGUGAAUGUGUAGCACUAGCAUCAGGAGGAGAAAAGGACAUUGCAGAUGUACUGCUUUUUUCAGAUGUAAUAGGAGCAGCGAAUGAACAAACCAACCUUCUGUCAGAAAAAAAAAGCAUACAAAGAUGAUGAGUACUCUAAGAAGAAUGCCUUCUCUGUGUAUAAUAAAAAGCAUAUUUCACCGCUCGUAGCUAUAUAUGCACACGCACACACAGACAUGGGUACAUAAAUAUUCAAAACAGUUGCAAAUUUGUCUUAAAAGAUAUUCCGUAUCAGCUCACUAAUUGUCAUUAUGAAAUACUCUGAGGUGAGAGAUCUCCAUGAGAAAUCUCUUGAGUCCCCUUUUCCCAAUUUCCAACUUGCUAUUCUAGGUAAGGAAGAGAAAGAUGGAUUUAAUAAAGGUGCAGCAUGCAGGAGUGGUGGUAAGAGACCUCACAAUUUUAUUUUUGGCUUGGAAUCACUGGCUUUGUCUCAGUUUGGCAGAAGAUUAUACCCUUCAUGACAUAAUCUAUGUCAGUAUCCUCUGCCUCCAGCCCCAGUGUUACACUUCCCAUUUUUCCUUUCUUUUUCCCCCUCCUUUUAAUUAAAUGAAUAUAAAAUAUAACAUCUAAACUACAAAAAGGAACAAAGAAAGCACAGCGAUCAGAUCCAGGUAAUAGAACACAUCACUGUGGGGGUUCAGAAUUAAGGCCAGGCGAGGAAGCCUCUCCCCUGAGGAGAAGACAAUUUCCUUGCCACGGUGCUAAGGUUAUUGCAAUGCCAGCAUCCCUAAAUAACCACGCACUUUGUCUUACCACGCCUUCGUCUCUCUCUCUGUCCUUUUGGCUGGACUUGUAUUGCUGCCAAGUGCAAGGCUGGACUGUGUAGAGACUCAAUAUUUGGUAGAAGCUUUUUACAGAGCUUCUUUUUCUAAAUAAAUAACGAUAUAAAUGAGAGAGAAAAAGAGUAACAAAGUUCUUUAAUUAAUGUGGAGUGUACCCUCAGGCUUUGCCUGUGGGUUCAGAGCACUGUCUGCAGUGAGCCCAUUGCAAUGACAGGUGGUCUGGGGCUGGGAGAAGCGGAAAUCUCCCAGAGGAAUCUGCCAGUCAACAUGGAUCGGUGUUGAUUCCUCCUCUUAGGUAAUUGCUCAAGUAGAAGACUCUCCAAAUUGUUCAGGAUUCAAGAAGAACUGUUCAAAUAAAAGACCAUCUUAUCUUGCAGCGCUGCUAUUUUUAAGAUGAUUUAAACCUUAAAAAAAGGUGUGCUGAAAAAAAAUAUUGCAAUUAUGAAGACGAUCAUCACAGAUCACCACCACUGGAAGUUGACCACUGAGGUCAGACGACUUCUUUAAAAAGCAGCUGCACCGCACAGUCUCACUGGUGUCGAGCCUGCAAAUGACCAGGGAGGCUGUACGGCUACCGCUGCAAAGGCACACUGCUGAUGCAAAAGCUCUGCUCUCAAGCUAAACUGCUGCUCUCUGGCUGCUAAAAAGGAAAAAGAAAUGUAGUCACACAAAAGGGAGUUUGAAAAAUGACAAAUUUUGCUACUUAAUUCUGCAUUGCAGUUACCAUCAUCUGUAGCCAUUACGUACAUUUGACUAACCCUCAGAAUGCUCUCUUGCAGCAUUACAAAGCAAUCUUCAAAGAAACACUGGGAUCAAGGCAGUGUAAGCACCAGCUUUAAGUCAGCUUUGCGUGACAGCUUCUGAUUUAUGCUUUCAAACAGACCCACAGAUCUCUGCCUCAGUUUGUUAGUUACCACUAGCAAAAUACAUAGGGGCGUGCAGUGCCGUAAUAUACCUCUCCCAGCAGAAUAAAGCCUUUAUGCAUACUCUAUUAAAUUAGAUGGUUUGGAAAAAGAAUUACGUUUUCACGAAGACUGGAUUUAUGAAAAAAUUAUCCAGAAGCUUCAGUUUUUAAUUAAUUGCAAAUUCUGUAGCAUUCUAGACAUCUUUAAUGUCCAAAUUUGUCCUCACUAGGUCUAUUUAACUACUGCCAUUUUCACAUAAACAUUGAUAAAUAUUGCUAAGAAUGAAGUGUUGAAUGUCUUUUUUAUGAUACCAGUGGAACAUACAGUAAAGGCUUUACCAUUUCCCUUAUCCUUGGGGAAGCACUUAAGCAGAUAAAGUAAUUAAUAAUGGGAGUUCCUAGCUUAUGUAGUAAAAAAAGAAUAUUUGUUAGCUGUACAUGUAAAAAGAUGUCAAAUAAAUUCAGUAGUUCUAUCUGUAGUUCAAUUCUUUGAAAGAAAAAAAACUAUAAUUGGAUUUAUUUGUUGGAAAAAAGCUGUUUCACAGUUAAAAAGAGAGACAUGUAGCAGAAACUCUUUAGCCACGUCCCUCAUUAAUGCGCAGUGAAAUGAGCUAGAUGCUGUGCUUGGGUUAACCAGCGUACCUUUAUGCAAGCUGUUUGACCUGUACACUUAACUCCAGAUAGAAUCUGUCCCUGUGUAACUAGAAGAUAACAAACUGUGUAGUAGACGUAGGAAAAAAACACCUCAGCAAGGCAGUGGCAGGAAAUGAUUGAGUGACUUUGUGUCCAUUUGGUAACCUCAGGAGGUCAAAUACAAGAGAGGCUGUAAAGCUUCUAAGUCUAAAAAGUGCACGUAUUCUAAGAGCUGUGUUCUGUUUUCUUAGGAGUUUGCCUGGGACACUAGCCAGAAUAGCACUGCAAUAGCACCUGACAGAUAAAAUUAAAGCAUGAAUCAUAAUCCCUCUGGUCUGCCAAACUGAGCUUUAUUCAAGCUGGACCUUUAAGAUAGAUUACAGUUUACAAUUUGAUGGCGUGUCCAAAAGCUAACUAUCCCUUAAUUUCAAACCGUGUUGUGGGAAGGUCAUGUAUUCGCGCUAGGGUACAAACUUGGGUUUGUGUGAUGAGAAUUGAGUGAGGUGAGCUCAAAAUCAUAAUGGUUUCUCUUGUUUAAACUUAAAUGAAAUACCAGCUGGACAGUUGCCAGGAUAAGAUAUCAUUCUGACAGAGCAGAACACUCAAGUAUAUUGAGCGAGCUCUUUGGAUUAGUCUAAAAGAAUAAAGGGCAUCGUCACACUUUUACAAGGCAGAGAAAAUGUGGAAUGCUUCAAAAACAAGCAUUCCAAAUAAUAUUGAAAAUAGAUUAUUUAAAUGGAAUUUGGAAUAUGAAAUUCUUGAUGUUUGAUAUUCUUUUUCGUAGCUAUGGGGAAGAAGGCAGGCAGACUAGACGUCGAAGAAAGCCUAUUAUUGGGUAGAAGGCUAUUAUUGAUAGGCUAAUCUUCCAAAACAAAUCUGCUUAAUCUAUAAUCUUUGAAACUAUAGAAUUGUUUGGGUACCACACUAUCAUCCUUCCAAUUUUCAUUUUAGAUGCUGUAGCAAUCAAAGGAUGAUGUAGCUUCAAAGAGUAAUACAAUGUAGUUUGAAGUUCAAUUUAUCAUGCUGGUAACGGACCAGCCUCUGGGGUUUUUUUAGUUUGCUUGACUGGGACGAGGGGUGGCCAUACAGGAGUCUUCAAUCAUCAAAUAACUUGAUAUGCAUGACUAAUUGGUCAUCUGAAUAUAGGGUUAGUUACCUAAGUGCUUUGUAGUUGACAGCAAACUGCCUGCUUUAUCAACGCCAAUAAAAAAGACUAACACAACCUAAGAGUUUUUCUUUCUGUUCCUAGAUAUGCAUCAGAUUUGUAUCUCUCAACAAGAGUUGUAAUCCAUAGAUCAAAGGAUAAAAUAGUAUAGAAAUAAAACAGACUAUUCAAUUUAUAAUUCAAAGCAUUCUUACAUUUGAGAUAUCAACUUACAAAAAUAAAAUAACUAGCAGAUGUCUGUGCAAGGAUACCUAUUUACUUUUAGUCUCUUUGGUAGUGUCCAUUCAGGACCUGACAUUCAGUUCAUCAAUUGUGGAUAUGACCAAAUCUGUGAAAAAGGGAUCUGGGUUUUGAUGUGAGUAGCCAUCACUAGAUGCAGUUCAUAUCUUUUCUGGGGGUACUUUGAGUUAAACUGGUGAUAUACAUUCUCAAUAUCAACUCCAAUUAAACACUGAUCUUUGCCUAAGGAUUUUUAAAAAGGUUUUUACAUAUGAAUAUUUAACAAGAAAACCCAGGAAGAAACCCAGUAAGACGACACAAGAACGGUAGCACAAUAUCUCCCAUAAACUGAAGAUGUAUACGAAGGAUCUUGGCUCAGCUGAAGAUGUUAUCUGAAGUUCUGAGACGCAUUCAUCCGUAGGCACUAGUUGCUUUGCGCUGCUACGUGGCAAUGCAAAGCAAACAGAAUAUAGUCAGAAGCUAGGCCAGGUCUACAGCUGCUUUGCAUUACUGGGGGAACAAACACCAACCAAAAAGGCCUUGUAAACCUGAUCAUUAAUUGACUAGCAGUCAGGCAGAGAGGUCCUUUACAAGAGUGACAUCGGGGACCGGGCAGUAAUUGCACGCGCUGUCAGGGAGAGCUAUUAACAGAUGAGGCCAGUGUCCCUGACUGAUUUUGCCCAAUUAAACUGAAUCAUGCAAAUCAGUGAGUGAAGAAGGAUGGCGCUUGGCUUUGUUAUCUCCAGCGUUAUCUCUGUUGAGGUAUAGAUCUGUACCUGCUUAUCACCUACAGCAGUUUCUAUACCAGUUGUUAAUAACAUACUGUCAAUGCAUGUCCUCCAGCUGAAGCCUACAUGUGAGAUUUCAGGAACUUUAUGGAAAGUUUGAAUGCUCCUAUGUUUUCACAUUAUUGAACAGAGAUGUGGGAUAAAAGACUGGCAAAUGGCAAAUUUCUAAA